UGUCUGGGAAACUGCCUGAUGGAGGGGGAUAACUACUGGAAACGGUAGCUAAUACCGCAUAACGUCGCAAGACCAAAGAGGGGGACCUUCGGGCCUCUUGCCAUCAGAUGUGCCCAGAUGGGAUUAGCUAGUAGGUGGGGUAACGGCUCACCUAGGCGACGAUCCCUAGCUGGUUUGAGAGGAUGACCAGCCACACUGGAACUGAGACACGGUCCAGACUCCUACGGGAGACAGCAGUGGGGAAUAUUGCACAAUGGGCGCAAGCCUGAUGCAGCCAUGCCGCGUGUAUGAAGAAGGCCUUCGGGUUGUAAAGUACUUUCAGCGGGGAGGAAGGGAGUAAAGUUAAUACCUUUGCUCAUUGACGUUACCCGCAGAAGAAGCACCGGCUAACUCCGUG
rnacentral:rRNA from 1 species